UAAUCACUUGGGGCUGUCUAUAUGGUC
rnacentral:piRNA from 1 species